AAACGAUGCCAACCAGUAAUUCGCCUGAGUUCCUUAAAUGACUCGGCGAGGGACUUCCGGGAAACCAAAGUCUUUCGGUUCCAGGGGAAGUAUGGUUGCAAAGCUGAAACUUAAAGAAAUUGACGGAAGGGCACCACCAGGAGUGGAGCCUGCGGCUUAAUUUGACUCAACACGGGAAAACUCACCCGGCCCGGACACUGGAAGGAUUGACAGAUUGAGAGCUCUUUCUUGAUUCAGUGGGUGGUGGUGCAUGGCCGUUCCUAGUUGGUGGAGUGAUUUGUCUGGUUAAUUCCGAUAACGAACGAGACUCUAGCCUACUAAAUAGAUCGUCGGCUUACAAACGCCGACGAGACUUCUUAGAGGGACAGGCGGCGAUUCAGCCGCACGAAACAGAGCAAUAACAGGUCUGUGAUGCCCUUAGAUGUCCGGGGCCGCACGCGCGCUACACUGAAGUGAUCAGCGUGCUUUUUCAACCUACUCUGUCAAGAGUGGGGAACCCAAUGAACCUUCUUCGUGAUUGGGAUAGGGGAUUGUAAUUAUUCCCCUUGAACGAGGAAUUCCCAGUAAGCGCGAGUCAUAAGCUCGCGUUGAUUACGUCCCUGCCCUUUGUACACACCGCCCGUCGCUACUA
rnacentral:rRNA from 1 species